AUCUUCCUGGUUGUAAGUACGUCUUGUAAAGUUAUGAAAAGACUUCUUUACUUAAUUUUUCAGUUGUGUUUAUUUUAUCAGACAAGAGUUCUACAAGUUAAACCCAUGUUACUAUACGUACCAGAAAACUCUUUUACUGAAGUAUAUAUCAUCACUGAUGAUCAUGUUGCUUGUAUCUAUUUUCUUUUGAUCGUAUAUAUUAGAAAUUUUUGCGUCACAUCAAGUGUAAAAGUUCAAAUACAAUAAAUGUGAUGUUACGAACAUGUUAUAUCCCAACUUUGGUUUAAAUCUAUACUCUCUGUCUAGGGUAGUGUUUAUGACCUAAAUUUUAAACACUAACAAUCAAUAUAAUUUCUAAAAUCACUUAAUACAUAUUUUCUCCAUUAAGAUUGAUUCUUGAACGGGAAAUAACCAAAAUUAAACCACGUUUCAUAGACCAUUGUAAUUGACCGCCUAGUAUAAAUAGUUUUGACUUCAGGGUUACAUUACUUUUUAUUCUUCAUGGCAUGACCAACUUUUUUCCCGACUAAAUCACAAUUUCAAUUUUUUUUUACUACAUACAAGAUAUGAAAAUUCUGUAACUGUUUUUACUAGGCCGCACCACUUCCAGUAAACAUGAUAUCCUUCCACUUUCCUGGAUUGAUUUCUUAAAAAAGACGUAAGAAUUUUUUUGAAUCCAUAUAUAUGUUUCAAAUAAAAAUAAACUUUGAAUCGAACAAAAAUAAAUGCAGGAAAAAUGGACAAUUUUAUUUCACGAAUAAUAUGACUAGGGGAGCCAUCAAUCUUUCGUUUGUGCAUUGGGGUCGAUUAAGGGGUAUUGGGGGACAUAUAGAAGAGAGGGGUUUACUAUAGAACCCUAUGGGAUUUUAUUUUUUAAAUUUUCAAUAAAACCAAUUAAAGAAAUAAAAAAAAAGUCCCUGGGGGUGACCUCCAUUCUCUUUCAAUUUGACAAUGUGCUAUUAUCUUGUAAACGAUAUAGAUCCCAUACCCUAAACUAUGAAUAUAUUCUUUAAUGGGACAAUAAAAUGAAUCAAGUGAAAUAAAAGGGAAGUACCCCGGGGGUCAUCCCCACCCCCUAUUGUUUGAAAAAUUGCAAAUGGUCAAGAUGCCCCACCGCUAAACCAUAUAUAUUCUUGUAAUAAUAAAACACAUUAGAUGAAAUAUAGGGACAGUCCAUGGGGGUCACCCCCACUCCCUCAUGUUUGAAAAACUUUUAAAUGGCUGAGAUCCCCACCCCAAAACCAUAUAUGUUAUUGUAUGUGACAAUAAAACAAAUCAAAUGAAAUAAAAGCGAAGUUCAUAGGGGUCCCUCCUACCUGUUCAAUUUUUAAAUGUGCUAUUAUCUUGUAAAUGGUUGAGAUCCCCACAUCUAAGCCUUAUAUAUUCUUGUAUGGGACAAUAAAACAAAUCAAGUGAAAAAAGGGAAGUCCAUGGGUGUCACCCACCCCCUCAAGUUUGAUAAAUUGUAAACGGUCAAUAUCCACACCCCUAAACCAUAUAUAUUCUUGUAUAGGACAAUAAAACAAAUCAAACGAAUUGGCAUGGCGAAUAAUGGGAGCUUUGUUUGGGAGACUUCGUAACAGCAUCCUGUUACAAUUACUUCUUGAUUUUUAGACUACUUACAUUUUUUAACCAAAAGAGAAGUAAAUGAUAAGGUGAUAACAAAAAGUAAAAUAAAAAAAAAUAUAAGACAGAAAGUUCCUUAUCAAAAAACAAAAAAAGCUCAAUUUCCGAAAAGUUCAGUUUUUUGGUUAAUUUAUUUUUUUCCUAACAAACAUUUACUUUUUUUUUAAUAAACAGCAGUAAUCCCGUCUAUUUGAAAUCUGAUUAUUAAGUUAUAACGCAUGACAUGGGUAAAAUCUCUUUGUUCUUACUGUGCUUUAAUCUGGAUAAUGCACAGCAAAGGUGUGCAUUAACUACCUCAGAUAUACUGCACAGUUCAAAUCUAUUUUUACCUUUAAGGGCGGAUCCUGGAUUUUGAAAGGGGCGUUAUUCUACAAAAUAAAAGAAUAUUACCGAUUGAAGCGAGACUAAAAGCAAUAUUAUUAUAUUAUUAUGCUAAAACACGAUACUUUGUCCUAUCCAAGGGUGAGCGACCUAUUCACCCCACCCCUGAAUCCGCGUUCUGCCUUAAAACUACGACAAAGUUGAACUUUGAUUGAACAUUGUAGUUUCAACAUGUUCAAAAUAGGAAAAAAAAAGUCUCUCAUUCCUUUUUUUUUUUAUCUGAGCUGGGACAUAAAAUAUUUCAUCAUAUUUUGUGUACAACGUAAAUCUUAAAUCAGUGUUUUAAAGUCAGAAAGAUAGUUAAAACAAUGUUUGGAUAUUUCUGACAAAAAAAGAAAUGUAUCUAAGAAUAUCCGAAUAACAGAAAUCUGAUUUGGAUUAGUUUUAGAGUCAAUGGAAUUUAUAACAACUUUUUGAAUAUUUAUUCCUAAAAAAAGACUAUUUUUUGAUCGAAUCUAAUGAGGAUCAUAUUUAAGUUAGUUUCAAAACACGGGGGAUUAGCUGGAGAUUAAUCAGAAUUUAUUUAGAUGGACUCGUCUUAAAAAUUAAUACACUAGAUUAAAAGAAAUGUGUGGGGUUGAGAGAGUAAAAGAUUAGAAAGAGAAAUGUUUUUUCUGUUUAUUUAACAUUUUAAUUUAAGGUAAUAUAACAUCUUCCUCGGUUCAUCUUUCUCUAAGCAUAUCAUUGAGGGAAAGAAAUUCAAAAGUAAUUAAUCCAAAUUCAAUAACACUUUCGGUUAUGUUUUUUUCAUACACCGAUCAUUUCAAAUUACACAAUUUGUUAAAGUCUUAAUCGUCACUAAUUAAAUAAAAAUUGGGAAUAAAUUUAACAGAAACGAUAAAAAAAAUCUACCAAUAAAUCGCAAUUUUAGAAUAAGUCUAAAUAUAAAAAAAAAUAAAUUUAAAACUCACCAAAGUCGUAUUUCCCCCUUUCAUUACCCCACAAGAAACUUUCCUUGGAUCCGUGGAUUGCGGAAAUCGUCCACUCUUCUAAAACGUUCACGGAAAUUAAUGGCGUCAUGUGUUAAAACAAUUAUUUGCCAAUCAAAUCGGUAUAUACGUUUUAAUCUGCAAGCUCUUGAUGACCCUUUAACCCGACCUUUUACGUCGUCCGGGUUAAUGAGAGUCACCAGAGUCGUGCAGAUUAAAUCAAAUAUACCGACUUGCCUAAUUAGUCAAUAACAUACAUAUCAUGUCCAAGCUUCUCUUACAAAGCUUACAUACGAGAUCUGUAUUUUAUCCAGAUUGGUGUGUGUGCAUGAUCAAUAUAAAAAUACAUGAUUUCAAAUUGUCUUUUGAUUUGAAGUAAAAAAAAAGUAUCAUUUCAGAGUAAUGGCAAGCAACUGGAAUGUUUGUGGAGUUUGUGAACUACGCAACAUCAGUAAACUGUCAGUCAUAUGGUGUUCAGAUUGUGAGGAGGGUCUCUGUGAUGAAUGUAAGGACCAUCACACAGUUUAUCCAAAGGAACACGGAAUCAUAAAACCGUGACGAUAGCCGAGUACCAGAAGUUACCAAGCAAUGUUAUUCAAAUCGCACUGUCAUGUAGAAAACAUGAUCAAAAGUAUCAAAAAAUUUGUAAAAAGCAUGAUUGUCCGUGCUGUAAAAA
rnacentral:lncRNA from 1 species